GGCCCUGCCUUCCCCCUCCGGAUGCGGCUGCCUCUGAACCGGAGCCGGCCCCCUCGCUCCGUCACCGCCCCCCCGGACUCGGACCCGCCCUCCGGGGGCGGGGCGCGACAGCCACUUCCCUGCGGAGGAGCACGAAGAUAACUAGAUUUGGAUCUGAAGACUUGUGACAGAGUUAUCCUUUUGGUACCACAGAGGAAAGGAAGUUGCACCUACAUUUCAGAGGAUGCUGAGUCAAGAGUGAACAUUUGAAGCUUUUCAUCACACAUGACAACCUAAUAAAUCAAUAAAAAGAGAAAAAAUAGAUCAGAAGAUUGGCUAGUAAAUUGAAAAAUAAAGACAUUUAUGGGUUUGCCACAGAAACUGCUUCUGAGGAGACUGGAUCAAACCGGUCUGGACUCAAACUUUCACGACACAGAAGGCAUAAAAGGGCUGCACACCCUGUCAGCGGGGCUGUUUGUCUGCAAGGCAGCCAGUGACUGUCAUGUUUGCGCAGGCAUCGAAGACUCCCUUCACCAUCUUACCUGAUCUAUCCCACUGAUCCGGGUAUCUUCCACCUGAAUCCACUUACCUUAUUCCUGGUUCCAGUGAUUGCCAACACCAGCGGUCUCCUGGUUCCUGGUUCCAACGCAGUGAAGGUCCUGAGCUCCUCCAGUCCCCGGUAACCACUGGGUGUACAGUUGCAGUUGCAGGUCCCUAUGAACCCAAGCAACAUAGAGAUUAUCACUUAACACCCGCAGCUGAUCCCACUCGAGAUCCAUCCUUCGAGAUACAGUACAGUUCUAGGGUACCUUGGUUUAGUUUGUUUUGUUAGAAGUGUAAAUUUCCAAAGGUUGUAUUGGGGACUGGGCUUCAGGCCCAUCUUUGGGCAACCACAUUGCUAUUUUAUGGUUUUAACCUGUUUUAUUCUCUCCCCCCACCCUUCUUCUGACAUUGUUAUUAACCGUUUUAAUAAAUUUCCUGUUUGUUUUGGAAAAAUUUCCCUCUCUAGUCUUCUGUUACCUACCUGGUGGUCGGUGGGAAGAUUUUAGUUAACUUACUCGCAAGUAUCAGAGGGGUAGCCGUGUUAGUCUGAAUCUGUAAAAAGCAACAG